rnacentral:misc_RNA from 1 species
CCCAGCAACGCAAUAUGAGUUUCAAUUACAUAAUUAUACAAAUAAGCCAAAAAAACAACAGAAAGAAUAUGCAAAUCAACGAUUAUAAUUACAAAAUUUAAAUUCAGUUACUAUUGUUGGGUCUGAAUGAAAGAGAAAAAAAAGGACCAAGAUGGAGUCAAGGGAAAAAAGAAAAAAAAAGGUAGAGCACACGGAAGCAGAGGCCUAGCAUCAAGAAUACAGAGGGAGAUAGAUCGCUUUCGAGAUUGCACCGCCGAGGAAAUCCGAUCGGCUCACUGCAAACUAACUCUCCAUCACCAUUCUGAGAAUUUCACCCAAUUCGACUUGAGCCCACCCCGAAUGGGUUUCAAUGCUAAAAUCUAAACAGUUCGACUAGAAAUUGAAUAAAUGACAAAAAUUAAUAGACCCAGCAAUCGUUAUUGAAAUCCUAUUAUUAACAUCCAUCGAAACUCCAAUGCUUAGAAUCAAACUGAUGUCCAUUCUGAACAACCAUCAGAGAAGGUUACGAAAGAUAAGCCCUUUGGGAUUUGGGUCGUGGACAUGCGGCGGUGGGCACCAAUGAGGCGAAGAUGACUUUCAGACCAUGAAUGGCUAGCAGCAAAUACAUGCGAUCUCUUAUGCCAAAAUCGAGACACUAGUGACUAUAGUGAGCCAUAAAAGAUGGGAUGGGUAAGCAGAUAGAGAGUUGGCGUGGGAUGAGGUGGGGGAGAGACGGUGGAGACAAGAGUGAACUUUGGGGCUGUGAAUAGUUUAGAUUUUUG